rnacentral:rRNA from 1 species
UACGGAGGGUGCAAGCGUUAUCCGGAUUCACUGGGUUUAAAGGGUGCGUAGGCGGGUAGAUAAGUCCGUUGUGAAAUCUCCGAGCUUAACUCGGAAACUGCCAUUGAUACUAUUUAUCUUGAAUAUUGUGGAGGUAGGCGGAAUAUGUCAUGUAGCGGUGAAAUGCUUAGAUAUGACAUAGAACACCAAUUGCGAAGGCAGCUUACUACACAAUGAUUGACGCUGAGGCACGAAAGCGUGGGGAUCAAACAGG